rnacentral:rRNA from 1 species
GAUCAGGUAGGAAUACCCGCUGAACUUAAGCAUAUCAAUAAGCGGAGGAAAAGAAACCAACAGGGAUUGCCCUAGUAACGGCGAGUGAAGCGGCAACAGCUCAAAUUUGAAAUCUGGCUUCGGCCCGAGUUGUAAUUUGUAGAGGAUGCUUUUGGUGAGGUGCCUUCUGAGUUCCCUGGAACGGGACGCCAGAGAGGGUGAGAGCCCCGUAUAGUCGGCCACCGAUCCUUUGUAAAGCUCCUUCGACGAGUCGAGUAGUUUGGGAAUGCUGCUCAAAAUGGGAGGUAUAUCUCUUCUAAAGCUAAAUAUAGGCCAGAGACCGAUAGCGCACAAGUAGAGUGAUCGAAAGAUGAAAAGCACUUUGAAAAGAGGGUUAAAUAGCACGUGAAAUUGUUGAAAGGGAAGCGCUUGUGACCAGACUUGUGCCGGGCUGAUCAUCCAGUGUUCUCACUGGUGCACUCGACCCGGCUCAGGCCAGCGUCGGUUUUCGUGGGGGGAUAAAAGCUUCGGGAACGUGGCACCUUCGGGUGUGUUAUAGCCCGUUGCUUAAUACCUCCGUGGAGACCGAGGU